rnacentral:SRP_RNA from 2 species
GCCGGGCGUGGUGGCGGGUGCCUGUAAUCCCAGCUACUUGGGAGGCUGAGGCAAGAGAAUCACUGGAACCCGGGAGAUGGAGAUUGCAGUGAGCCGAGAUCGUGCCACUGCACUCCAGCCUGGGCAACAGAGUGAGACUUUGUCUCAA